GACAUACCUAUACGUUGCCUCGGCGGAUCAGCCCGCGCCCCGUAAAAAGGGACGGCCCGCCCGAGGACCCCUAAACUCUGUUUUUAGUGGAACUUCUGAGUAAAACAAACAAAUAAAUCAAAACUUUCAACAACGGAUCUCUUGGUUCUGGCAUCGAUGAAGAACGCAGCAAAAUGCGAUAAGUAAUGUGAAUUGCAGAAUUCAGUGAAUCAUCGAAUCUUUGAACGCACAUUGCGCCCGCCAGUAUUCUGGCGGGCAUGCCUGUUCGAGCGUCAUUUCAACCCUCAAGCUCAGCUUGGUGUUGGGACUCGCGGUAACCCGCGUUCCCCAAAUCGAUUGGCGGUCACGUCGAGCUUCCAUAGCGUAGUAAUCAUACACCUCGUUACUGGUAAUCGUCGCGGCCACGCCGUAAAACCCCAACUUCUGAAUGUUGACCUCGGAUCAGGUAGGAAUACCCGCUGAACUUAAGCAUAUC
rnacentral:rRNA from 1 species